ensembl:misc_RNA Metazoa_SRP Metazoan signal recognition particle RNA
GCCGGGUGUGGUGGCUCACGCCUGUAAUCCCAGCACUUUGGGAGGCUGAGACGGGUGGAUCACCUGAGGUCAGGAGUUCAAGACCAGCCUGGCCAACAUGAUGAAACCCCGUCUCCA